CGGAAAUAGCUCAGUUGGUAGAGCGCAACCUUGCCAAGGUUGAGGUCGCGAGUUCGAGUCUCGUUUUCCG
rnacentral:tRNA from 1 species